UCCAGGCACGGUGGCACAUGCCUGUAGUCCCGGCUACUUGGGAGGCUGAGGCUGGAGGAUCACUUGAGUCCAGGAGUUCUGGGGUGUAAUGCACUAUGCUGAUAAGGCGUCUGCACUAAGUUCGGCAUCAAUAUGGUGAUCUCCGGGGAGCGGGGGACCACCAGGUUGCCUAAAGAGGGGUGAACCAGCCCAGGUCAGAAAUGGAGCAGGUCAAAACUCCUGUGCUGAUCAGUAGUGGGAUCAUGCCUGUGAAUAGCCACUGUACUCCAGCCUGGGCAACAUAGCCAGACCCCAUUUCGU
rnacentral:SRP_RNA from 1 species